rnacentral:rRNA from 1 species
UACGCAGGAGGCGAGCGUUGUCCGGAAUUACUGGGCGUAAAGCGCGCGUAGGCGGCGCCGCACGACGAUCGUGAAAGCCCCCGGCUCAACUGGGGAGGGUCGGUCGUAACGGCGGUGCUCAUGAGUGUGGGAGAGGGAAGUGGAACUCCGGGAGUAGCGGUGAAAUGCGUAGAGACCCGGAGGAACACCGGUGGCGAAGGCGGCUUCCUGGCCUACUACUGACGCUGUGGCGCGAAAGCUAGGGGAGCAAACGGG